rnacentral:rRNA from 1 species
GACAGAGGGGGCAAGCGUUGCUCGGAAUUACUGGGCGUAAAGCGCACGUAGGCGGCUUUGUAAGUUAGGGGUGAAAGCCUGGAGCUCAACUUCAGAAUUGCCCUUAAGACUGCAUCGCUUGAAUCCAGGAGAGGUGAGUGGAAUUCCGAGUGUAGAGGUGAAAUUCGUAGAUAUCAAGCGGAACACCGGUGGCGAAGGCGGCCUUCUGGACAGUGACUGACGCUGAGACGCGAAAGCGUGGGGAGCAAACAGG